rfam:Branchiostoma floridae genomic scaffold BRAFLscaffold_6, whole genome shotgun sequence.
GUAGGGUAUGGCGACAUGUACCCACAGACCGUGGGCGGCAAGUUGGUGGGGUCGCUGUGUGCCAUAGCCGGCGUACUGACUAUCGCAUUGCCGGUACCUGUUAUCGUCUCCAAC